CAAAGAUAAUGAAAUCUUGCCUCCGUUUGCAACUAUGUGCAUGGAACUGGAAGGCAUUAUGCUAAGUGAAAUUAGAGAAAGACAAAAAGAUCAUAUGACUUCGGUCAUAUGAGGACUUUGAGAGACAAACGAGAUGAACAU